rnacentral:rRNA from 1 species
CCUACGGGAGGCAGCAGUGGGGAAUAUUGGACAAUGGGGGCAACCCUGAUCCAGCCAUGCCGCGUGUGUGAAGAAGGCCCUCGGGUUGUAAAGCACUUUCAGUGAGGAAGAACGCCUGGUGGUUAAUACCCAUCAGGAAAGACAUCACUCACAGAAGAAGCACCGGCUAACUCCGUGCCAGCAGCCGCGGUAAUACGGAGGGUGCGAGCGUUAAUCGGAAUUACUGGGCGUAAAGCGCGCGUAGGUGGCUUGAUAAGCCGGUUAUGAAAGCCCCGGGCUCAACCUGGGAACGGCAUCCGGAACUGUCAAGCUAGAGUGCAGGAGAGGAAGGUAGAAUUCCCGGUGUAGCGGUGAAAUGCGUAGAGAUCGGGAGGAAUACCAGUGGCGAAGGCGGCCUUCUGGACUGACACUGACACUGAGGUGCGAAAGCGUGGGUAGCAAACAGGAUUAGAUACCCGGGUAGUC